rnacentral:rRNA from 1 species
GACGAACGCUGGCGGCGUGCUUAACACAUGCAAGUCGAACGGAAAGGCCUCAGCUUGCUGGGGUACUCGAGUGGCGAACGGGUGAGUAACACGUGGGUGAUCUGCCUUGCACUCUGGGAUAAGCUUGGGAAACUGGGUCUAAUACCGGAUAUGAACUGCCUUUAGUGUGGUGGUUGGAAAGUUUUUUCGGUGCAAGAUGAGCUCGCGGCCUAUCAGCUUGUUGGUGGGGUAAUGGCCUACCAAGGCGUCGGCGGGUAGCCGGCCUGGGAGGGUGUACGGCCACAUUGGGACUGAGAUACGGCCCAGACUCCGACGGGAGGCAGCAGUGGGGAAUAUUGCACAAUGGGCGGAAGCCUGAUGCAGCGACGCCGCGUGGGGGAGGACGGCCUUCGGGUUGUAAUCUCCUUUCGACAGGGACGAAGCUUUUUGUGACGGUACCUGUAGAAGAAGCACCGGCUAACUACGUG